rnacentral:lncRNA from 1 species
ACCAAAUCUAUUAUGAAGCAACAUAACUUUCCAGACCAGGGAACAUCCUCACUUACUGAUCAAGGUCUGAACAACUUUGCUCCUAAAAUCUGCAGCCUAUGAAUGGCCCUUUAGGUGCAGAAAGAAAAGUAUCAUUGGUAUAUAUGAGUGUUGAUCACCCAGGGCUUUUCUCUGUUUCAAUGCGGAUACUGUGGAUGCAUUCAAUUGAUUCUAGAGAAAAUUCAGCUGCAGAUCUAAAUGUUUUCACUAUGAAAAAGUGAAGAAAGAAGAAAUAACUAAAGACUGGCUUGUGCCCAUUGUAUUUUUACUAAAACCAAAUGAAAGAUAUUUUUUAAAAUCCUUCAUUCAUUUACUCUCUUUGACAUUCAUUUACUCUCUUUGAGUUUAACCCAGAGUAAUAAAUGUUAGAAGGAGACAUGUUAGAUGUUGAGGGGAAUAAAACAAGAAGUCAGACCCAUUCAGAUCCAAGGCAGACCCAUUCAGAUCCAAGAAUGACUAGACAGAAAAUAUGGACAUCUGUAGAUAAAUUCUAGAAAAGACCUCAAGUUAAAUGUGAAAAGGACUUAUUUGGAAAGCUGCCAGAAUUGAAUCCUGGAACAGAAAAAAAAGACAGAUAUUAAUGGAAAAACUGAAAAUUCUAGUAAUGUGGCAUUUGGUUAAUGUAUCAGUGUUAGUUCCUAAGUUCUGACAAAUGUACCACAGCAGUGUAAGUAGGGAAAACAAACUGGGUGAACAGUAUGCAGGAACUUUCUAUUAUCUCUCUGCAAGUUUUCUUCAUAUCCAAAAUUAUUACAAGUAAAAUAUAUCUUCUAAAUUAUUCCAAAUAAAGACUCCACUUAAAAAAAUGCUCCAGGAGAAGGCUAUGUGAUCUCUUUUUGUGUUGAUGCUCCAGAGCAUCCUGUUUUGCAAAAAUGAUGCUGAGAGAUCUAUUAGAUCCUUCAGUAAUUGAUCUGGGAAUCAUCCAGGCCUUUCCAUUUUGUUUGAAAAUAAAAUGCACAACCAGUCUUGUAUGAUGUGCAUCAUAAGACUGACAGUUGCAAUGGGGCUGGUGAGAAUUUGGGGUGUUUGUAAGUCCAGGCUUAUUUCUUAGGAACUGGAUACUGAUGCCAUCAUCUUCCAGACAUGCAGGAAUGGUGGCUCUAUGGAAACCCACCUGCUUGAUUCCCAGCAGCAAGGUCAUCUUUAUGUCCUGCUUGAAUUAAAAUGAACUUGGAAAAGCUGCUGAGAUUCCGAAGAUACACUACCCUAUACCGUGUAUAAAUUUCCCCACCACUAAAGAGAGAAGUGCUUUUUUUGUACAAAGAUAUUUUCAAAGUGAGACUACUUAAGCAAACUGUCAAAUAUUGCUCUUCUUGUGGUAAAGAAACCUCCUCAAUGUCAUCUGUUUUUCAUCCAUAUGUGAGAACUCCAGCCUCCAGACAAAUCCUGUGCCAUAUAGAUGUUGGUAGAUGAUUACUGGCAUGGGGUGAUCUGAGGGAAGGGAAAGGCCAGCUUGUCCAGAAAUACCAUCCUGCUAAAGCUGAAAAGGCUUGCAGUUCCCGUUACUCACUCCUUUUGGUUAGGAUGGGUACUAGAAAGCAUCUUUUAAAAUGUUGCUUCAGUGGAGCAAUGUGACAGCAAACAAACCAUCAAUGUCCCAUCAAUUCAGCAGAAUUAAGAAGGACAAAG